rnacentral:rRNA from 1 species
CCUACGGGUGGCUGCAGUGGGGAAUAUUGCACAAUGGGGGAAACCCUGAUGCAGCGACGCCGCGUGAGUGAAGAAGGAUCUCGGUACGUAAAGCUCUAUCAGCAGGAAAGAAAAUGACGGUACCUGACUAAGAAGCCCGGGCUAACUACGUGCCAGCAGCCGCGGUAAUACGGAGGGGGCAAGCGUUAUCCGGAUUGACUGGGUGUAAAGGGAGCGUAGACGGGACUGCAAGUCCGGAGUGAAAGCCCAUGGCUUAACCAUGGUACUGCGCUGGAGACUGUAGGGCUUGAGUGCGGGAGGAGCAGGCGGAAUUCCUGGUGUAGCGGUGAAAUGCGUAGAUAUUAGGAGGAACACCGGCGGCGAAGGCGGCCUGCUGGACCGUAACUGACGUUGAGGCUCGAAAGCGUGGGGAGCAAACAGGAUUAGAUACCCGUGUAGUC